GCGAUCAUACCAGCACUAAUGCACCGGAUCCCAUCAGAACUCCGAAGUUAAGCGUGCUUGGGCGAGAGUAGUACUAGGAUGGGUGACCCCCUGGGAAGUCCUCGUUUUGCACCCC
rnacentral:rRNA from 1 species